rnacentral:rRNA from 1 species
CUUACACAUGCAAGUCGAACGGCAGCGCGGGGGCACCUGGCGGCGAGUGGCGAACGGGUGAGUAUACAUCGGAACGUACCCAGAAGUGGGGGAUAACGUAGCGAAAGUUACGCUAAUACCGCAUACGUUCUACGGAAGAAAGUGGGGGACCUUCGGGCCUCAUGCUUUUGGAGCGGCCGAUGUCUGAUUAGCUAGUUGGUGAGGUAAAGGCUCACCAAGGCGACGAUCAGUAGCUGGUCUGAGAGGACGACCAGCCACACUGGGACUGAGACACGGCCCAGACUCCUACGGGAGGCAGCAGUGGGGAAUUUUGGACAAUGGGCGCAAGCCUGAUCCAGCAAUGCCGCGUGAGUGAAGAAGGCCUUCGGGUUGUAAAGCUCUUUUGUCAGGCAAGAAACGGCCGAGGUUAAUACCUUUGGCUAAUGACGGUACCUGAAGAAUAAGCACCGGCUAACUACGUGCCAGCAGCCGCGGUAAUACGCAGGGUGCAAGCGUUAAUCGGAAUUACUGGGCGUUAAGCGUGCGCAGGCGAGUUUGUAAAGUCUGACGUGAAAUCCCCGGGCUCAACCUGGGAAUUGCGUUGGAGA